CAGUUCGGUUCAUGGGGAUGGCGUUGGUCGCUUGACUUGAGUGUGUAAGCCGACAGUGGGUUACACCCCAAUUUUACAAUUCCAGGACCGAUCCGAUCCCCAGGAAUCGACUGU
rnacentral:pre_miRNA from 1 species